CCCUUAGAUGUUCUGGGCAGCACGCGCGCUACAAUGGUCUUCGCAAACGGAUGCAUUCUCGAAGGAGAAUGCCAAUCUUGGAAUCUAUGCCUUGGUCGGGACAGUUGCUUGCAAUUUUUCGACUCGAACCCGGAAUUCCUUGUAAUCGUGAUUCAUCACAUCACGAUGAAUACGUCCCUGCCCUUUGUACACACCGCCCGUCGCUCCUACCGAUCGAAGAGUUAGGUGAAUUGUUUUGAUCGAUAAGAUUUGACUAUGGUCAACUCUCGUUGUGAAAUUCUGUGAAUCUGACUGUUUAGAGGAAGGAAAAGUCGUAACA
rnacentral:rRNA from 1 species